CAGCAGUGGGGAAUAUUGGACAAUGGGCGAAAGCCUGAUCCAGCCAUGUCGCAUGAGUGAAGAAGGCCUUUGGGUUGUAAAGCUCUUUUAGUGAGGAAGAUAAUGACGGUACUCACAGAAGAAGUCCUGGCUAACUCCGUGCCAGCAGCCGCGGUAAUACGGAGAGGGCUAGCGUUAUUCGGAAUUAUUGGGCGUAAAGGGCGCGUAGGCUGAUUAAUAAGUUAAAAGUGAAAUCCCGAGGCUUAACCUUGGAAUUGCUUUUAAAACUAUUAAUCUAGAGAUUGAAAGGGGAUAGAGGAAUUCCUGAUGUAGAGGUAAAAUUCGUAAAUAUUAGGAGGAACACCAGUGGCGAAGGCAUCUAUCUGGUUCAAAUCUGACGCUGAGGCGCGAAGGCGUGGGGAGCAAACAGGAUUAGAUACCCUGGUAGUCCACGCUGUAAACGAUGAAUGUUAAAUAUGGGAAGUUUACUUUCUGUAUUACAGCUAACGCGUUAAACAUUCCGCCUGGGGACUACGGUCGCAAGAUUAAAACUCAA
rnacentral:rRNA from 1 species